UUAAAAAGCUCGUAGUUGAAUUUCGGGGUCAGUAGGUCGGUCGUGCCACUGGUAUGAACUGGUUUUACUGAUUCCUCCCUCUUGAAGAACUGUAAUGCCAUUAAUUUGGUGUUGCAGGGAAUCAGGACUGUUACUUUGAAAAAAUUAGAGUGUUUAAAGCAGGCUUUAGCUUGAAUACAUUAGCAUGGAAUAGUGAAAUAGGACGUUUGAUCCUAUUUUGUUGGUUUCUAGGAUUGACGUAAUGAUUAAUAGGGAUAGUUGGGGG
rnacentral:rRNA from 1 species